AUGUAGUGAUUCUUAAGAGUGGGAUAGAAAUGAUAUUUUCAUAAAAUGUAUUUCGUUGUUCCCCAACUUGCAUUGUCUGUAGAAUUUCUUUUUGAAAUUCUCUAUGUUGGGGCCCCGCCAACUUGCAUUGUCUGUAGAAUUUCUUUUUGAAAUUCUCUAUGUUGGGGCCCCGCCAACUUGCAUUGUCUGUAGAAUUUCUUUUUGAAAUUCUCUAUGUUGGGGUCCCGUUCCCCAACUUGCACAUUAU
rnacentral:ncRNA from 1 species